UACGUAGGGUCCGAGCGUUGUCCGGAAUUAUUGGGCGUAAAGGGCUCGUAGGCGGUUCGUCACGUCGGGAGUGAAAACUCGGGGCUUAACCCCGAGCCUGCUUCCGAUACGGGCAGACUAGAGGUAGGCAGGGGAGAGCGGAACUCCUGGUGUAGCGGUGGAAUGCGCAGAUAUCAGGAGGAACACCGAUUGCGAAGGCAGCUCGCUGGAACGUUACUGACGCUGAGGAGCGAAAGCGUGGGGAGCGAACAGG
rnacentral:rRNA from 1 species